rnacentral:rRNA from 1 species
CAGUAGCCGCGGGAAUACGUAGGGUGCAAGCGUUAAUCGGAAUUACUGGGCGUAAAGCGUGCGCAGGCGGUUAUAUAAGACAGAUGUGAAAUCCCCGGGCUCAACCUGGGAACUGCAUUUGUGACUGUAUAGCUAGAGUACGGCAGAGGGGGAUGGAAUUCCGCGUGUAGCAGUGAAAUGCGUAGAUAUGCGGAGGAACACCGAUGGCGAAGGCAAUCCCCUGGGCCUGUACUGACGCUCAUGCACGAAAGCGUGGGGAGCAAACAGGAUUAGAUACCCCUGUAGUCCAUGUCUCUUAUAC